UAAUAGUGAAUAAACCCUAAAAUAUCUUCCAAAUGAGCUGUAAUAGUAAAUUGACAAGUUUUUUUGACAGUAGAGCUGCAGUGAUUUGUAAAUCUCAAUUCAUCUCAAUUUGUUAUGGUCAUUUUAAAAAUACUUUUUUAAAAUUGAUGUAAUGUUAUUAAUUAAUGCUAACUAGUAACUGGAACAUAAUAACAUUUUAAUUGUGUCUUAGAUUUAAAAGGCAAUAAAGCAUAACACAUACAAACAAAUAAACUGCAGUGUCACAGUACUUACUGAAAUGGUACCAAGGACCUUACAUAUAUUUACAAAAGUGAGAAACACAGCACGCAAUUAGUCAUCAAACUACAAAACCAUGAACCAGCAGAGAGAGAGAGAAUAGCAACAGUGCUCAAUGUUUCUCUGCUUUCUUUUUUUUUUAUAACUUUCCCUUCUUCCUCGCUUUCAUUUAGUCCCAUAAAGCAGAGUUUUCAGUUGGCUUCAAAGCUCUUUGCAGAGCUCAGUUGGGGGCCUUCAAAGCCCCCUGUCUGUCGGCAGGUUUAGGCACAGAGAAAGCUUCUUGUUCUUUAAGGAUUUGGCUUACAAAUAACGCCCAGCCAGGGCCAAGGCAACUAGCUUGCACCCUGACAGGAUAGUAGACAGACUUCUGCAUUUUAGUGAUGUGUUUUGGGGGCUAUUCCUGCAUCUAUCUGAAAGUGAAGGCUUGGCCCUCUGCAGGCCUCCAUCAUACAGACACAGUGUCUGGCAAAGUGCUAGCAUUGGCCUCAAACAGGUAAUGCGGAGGAGAGAGAGAAAGAGCGAGGGAGAAGACACCGUGAAACAUUACACAGACCACAGCCGAUUUCCGAUGACCCAGCGAUGCUUUUUUCCUUUAAUGUCUGCACAUCGGAAUCGUACAAUUUCACCUCAAAAGUCUUGAUUUUAUAAUAGCAGGGAAACACAUGAAAUAAACAAUUUUAAUGAUAAAUUGAUAGUGAGGUGUUGUGUAGGUCUGUUGUCUAUUGUGUCUUAAGUGGAUUAACAGAGCGGUCAGUGAGACAGACAGCCAAAGUGGCAACCAUAACUAUUGUUUACAAGCUUGUGUCUCCUCUGUCACUUCAAAUUUUCAAUUUUAAUUUCUUAGACUUUCCCACAUUAGCGGGGGUGGAGUUAGUGCAAAAUUGUUGUAUACUUUUUUUAUAGAAGCAUGAAAGUUGACACAGUCACAUCUCACAAAUUUACGGACAUUGUAUACAUUUGUAGCGUCCUUAAUAUUGCUGCAUGUGGUCUGAUGGGAUUCUAUAGAUUUUAUUGUAAUCUACUAUUAUUUCAACGUAGUUUUAUAACAGAUACAAUGCUAAUGCAUAAUAUAAAAUUCAGGAUUUCUGAUUCUGGUCUCUACAUGCCAUGCAGCAUGCAAAAAAAAGAACUG